AUAGAAGAUUAAGGGUUGACAUUAAGAACUACGAUAAAGUAGAAAAGGUUCCAAAUUGGGUUAAUAUAAGAGAAGAAUGUCUUGUAAGACUAUCCUCUAAAGUAAAAUGAAGAAAUUUAAACCAAAAUUGAUGUAGAAGGUGUACAAAACUAAACUAUAAACUAAAGAAGUUGCUAAUGAUCUGUUACGGCGCAGGUCGUUCAAUAUAACAUCCGUAACAAUAUUUUUAUAAGUUGGUAUGUAUAAAUAAAAAUUAAUCAAUUAUAUGCAGUGUACCAUGUAACUUCCUUCGAUUUAACGUCGAACUCCCUAAAGCGUCGAAAUCAAUUGGCUUUGGUUGGUUUAACUUGUCUU